UCUCUAAAUUAAUAAACAUACUGGCAUCACUAUAAAUAUGGCGUCGAAAAUAAGUUGCAAGAGAUUUUUUUAAUUACUGCAUUUAUAUCGAAAUUUUAAUAAAAAAGUUAUAGUUUCAUAUGUAAAUAUUAUAAAAAAGUGAACAAAUAAAAUAUUGUUUAAAUAAUUACUAAAGUUAUAUUAAAGAAAAUUGGAAAUUAUAGUAGAUAUGGAGAAAAAAGGAAAGGAAAAAUGUUAACAUUUCGCAAAUUGCAAUAAACGAAUGAAUAGCUCAAGGACCCAAAAGUCAAAAACAGAAAAUACUGCGGCAACAAAAAAAAAAAAACGACAGCAACAAAAAAAAAAAAAGAAAGAAUAAAACAACUUUUUACCAAGACAAAGCGGCUGCGAAAGAUGGAAAAGAAAGGCACUUAAAAAAUCCAAGGCAGGUGUACGACGGCGACGUUGGCGCUACGAAAUUAACUAGAAUUAAUUAGUUAAAAAAUAGAAAAAAUUACACUACACACACUUACAAGCAGCGAAUCAAUUAACAAAAGAAAAACAAAAUUAGUGUCAUUUUAAUAACAAGUCAAUUGAAAUGAUCUAGUAAUUCCAAUAAGAAAACACGCAGAGUUGAAAAUAAAUGCAAUAAAUAAAUAUAACCCACUAGAAAGUUAAUAACACUUAUAACAUGAGCUCUUCCAUUGUGACAGCUAAUACUACUGCACCUGUAUCUGCCAUGGCUACUGCGGCUACAAAUUUAAUAGCUUCAUUGCCAGGUUCCCGUCCACAAACACAACAGCCAACCCCCACUGUAGCUGGAGCUAUUAUGCCAGCUAUGAAUGCACAAUUUCGUGAAAUUCACAAAAACACCUGGCUCAAACGUUUAACGGCAGAGGGCAAAAAGGUCUGUGUUGGGCCAAAAAAAUCUGAACGCAGUUGGGUUGUAUUUUGUGUACACGAUGAUACUGAAGCACUAUUGGAAGGUUACGCUGAACCGAGACAGGCUCCAUCACACAAUCCCGAAUGGAUUGUAUCCAUGCAGGAUACAUUACAUAUUUCUCACGCACUAAUUCCAAAUUCACAUGAAUUCGAAUUUGUUGUCACGCUCAGCAAUGAAGUGGUGCGUUUUCACGCUAUGUCAUGGGAUAUUAUGCAAGAAUGGGUCGAAACAUUACGGUCAAAAUUAAGAGAAAUGAAAAUACUUUCACCUCGUGAAAAUCUCUAUACAAAAUUACCAGAAGUAAGGGCUCCCCUAUUGCCAACAAGAGAUCCCACAUCCCCAUUACCAGCACCACCACCGGUGCCUGCAGCCAUAGUACCCGGUGUUGAAAGAGUUAUACCUCCUAGUGUUCAGCAGCAACAGUCCACAACAGCAUUGGAAACAAAUGAAACAAGGAAUUCUCUCAACAAUACAGCCACAUCUUCUUCUCCUAUAACAAGUGAAUCCAAUAGCAUGGAAACAACAACAACCCAAGCCACUUCUUCUACGGCAGCUAAUACAACUAUACAAACAUCAUCAUCUUCAACUACCACUUCAAAUAUAACAGCAGCUGUGCCGCAUUUAACUUCUAUGUCAAAUACUCUAACACAAAAUCUUUUAAAUAUGCUAUCGGAUCCCAUUAGUGCUUAUAGUGAACAAUUAAAUGAUGCUAAUUCCUCUUCAUCCUCUAUAGAACCAGAUGAUAUGGUUACAGGUUCAUCGACUCUAUCUUUGGCCAUGGAACGUGAUUUUAAUUUUAGUGAUUGUUCAACGGAGGAGGAAUUUAUAGGUCCAUUAUUACGAAAACCCAGUGCAAAUACCAGUGAUAUUAAUGGAAGUUUUACUAACAACAGUGUACGCUUAGAUGUUUUAGCGGCACAUCGCGCUUCUGCAGAUCAAAUAAGAAAUUUAGAAAAUAUAUUACAGUGUGAACGUUAUAUACCAAGACCACAAACAUCUCGCUCCCUAUCCGCUGGAGCUGUAGACAAAUCUAAAAGACAAAAUAUUAAUCAAAAAGUUGAAGCUAGUAGUAAAUUAUCAUCCCUAAUGGUUGCCAAUACUAGUAGUAAGGGAAAUAACAUAACAGAAUUAGAAGUUAAUUCGGAAAUUUCAACACCAUCAUCAACAUCCAAUGAUAACUCCUCGAAUACGAAUAUUACAAUAAUACAAGUAUCAACAGAAAAUCGAAACGAUAAGACAACGGCAACCAGUGCUGGAGAAAAUAAUUAUGAACCACCAAAAUUGCCACAUAAAACAAUAACGUCAACCGGAGCGACAGCAGAUAUAUUUAAAUUUCCCGAUGCCCAUGUAUCAAUCACAAAAAAUAUAAAACAUCAUGAAUACAAAAGUAAUGUACAAAUAAUUCCGUCCAGUAGUAAUAAAAGUAACAGUAGUACCAGCAGUAGUAGUAGCAAUAGUAAUCACAAUCACAACAAUAGCAGUACUAUACAAGUAAUGGGCAAUUCCACCACAAUGGUGGGUGGUAAUCAAUAUACAACUCCAGUUAAAAAAUCACAAACAUCAGCAGCUGCCAGUGUUGCUUCAACAACAAUAGAUGAGCAUAGCAAAAUAACAACAGUACAUGUAGCUGGUACUGAUAACACAUAUGGUACAUGCUUCACACCGCCCUCAUCAUCUGCCUCGACAUCACUUACGUCCACACCUAAAAUGCCUAAAAAAAUUAUAUUAUCAGCUAAUACGUCCGGAAUAACAAAUAUUACAGUGAAUAACACAACAACCAGUGAAGAAAUGUCCGCAGCAGUGUUAAGAAAAAAUUCCAUUGGUGGGAAAUUAGAAAAUGAAUUUGGCAUUUCGAGCGCUAACUCGAAUUCACCGAAUUUAAAUAAAAAUAAUGGACUACAUUAUGAAAAGGUAUUCCUUUCAACUACAGCUACUAUAAGCGCAGCUGAUGCCUCUGGUAGUGUACAGCCCACAUCAUCAUCUCAAAAUAUUACACCAUUAUCACCGAAAUGGAGUUCACCACUUCACCGAAAUUCAAAACAACGUACUAAAGAGGAAGCAACAGCAUUACCAUUGGGAAAAUCUUUAGCCACUUCAAAUGGUGUGGACAAAAAAGUAAAACUACAAAAUUCAACAACUAAACAACACAGUGGCGAACAGGGGCAUAAAUCGCCCACACAAAUGCCGCUGCAUACAGCUGAUCAGCCGAUGUCUUCUAUCAAUAUGGGCAGUCCAGCUAUGGCUAGAAGAAGAUUUGUUUCUCCUACCAACAGCAGACCCAUACCAACUGCUGCACCCAGACCUCCAUUUAUACUAACGAGAGGACUAACAGAAGCUGUCAUAACUAGUAGACCUAGUCGAAAAGAUUUCCAUUUCCUUAAUAAACUGUCUGUGGCAAAAACGAAAUCCUCAAAUACUAAUGCUAAUUGUAGUAAGUCAUCUAAUACGGCCAAUAAUAAUGAUAAUGGUUCUGGUUCUUCCGCAUCUACAUCAACAACACCCUCACAUUUAGCCGUAAAUCGUACAACAUCUGAAGCCUUAGAACAGCGCAGGCGUAGUUCGUCAACUUCAGAUGCUCAGUCACAACGUCAUACUCGCGGUACUAAUAACAAUGAUCCCUCUAAUCGUGCUAACGUUGGAAGUAGUGGUGGAGGAGGAGGACCUUUACGUCAACCACCACAGCCUUUUCGUUUAGCGGAAAAUAUUCUUGGUGUUAGUUCUAGUCCAGGUAAUACUACAUCACCGGCCAAACGUAUGACUUUAAGGGAACAACAAGUAAUGCAAUUGCGACGUGAAAUAAUGCAUCCUGGUGGUGUUCGUUUGCAAUUAAGGCGUAAAGAUUGUGUAGGUUCUAUUGCUUGGGUAGAUGCUUUUGGUGCUGUGUGGGUGGCUGGUUGGAAGCAAAAAGAACAUCCUGUUUUAUAUAAUGCCUUACAUAUAGGCGAUCAAUUGCUGUCAAUAGCUGGUGUAACAAUAAGUUCAGCAACAGAAGCUAAUAAAAUUAUACGCAAUACCAAUACACUAUUUGUCGAGGUCUUAGUACGACGCAUACCAUUUGGCCGUGGCUACGCUAUACGGCGCGAAAGAGAAGGUCAAUGUUUAGGUUUAAUACGUGAUGGUAAUACAUCUACAAUAGUUGAUGUAGUACCAAACAGUUUAGCAGCUAGACAUGGUCUACCUCCUAAGGCCCAGUCAUGUGAUGGUACUACUUUAACAUUUUGGGUACUCACAGAAAUAAAUGGCCGUCCAUUAAAUUUAUUUUUUAAAGAUAAUGAAAUACGCGAUCGCUUAAAUUCGGUUGGUCGUGAUAUUUCCAUAUUGGUGCAGCCGUCAGAUUUAAUAACAAAACUUAAGAAACAACUUAAAUCAUUACGCGGCUAUAAGGAUUAUUUGGUGCAAUAACCCUAAAUUAAUUAAUAACUUGUAAAGCAAACAAAACAGAAGCUAAAAGCAUUCACAUUUUAAGACACAAUCUCUCAUUGAUAUCUCUAUUUCAUCGGGUAUCAACAUCGGCGAAAUAAUUUCCAAAAAAACACCUAAUGUUUGGCCACCACAACGCCGGAGCUAACUAUCUCUGUGGCAGACAUGUGUUUGUUGAGUUUAGAGGUCAAAAAUCAAAAUAUUACAAGAUAAAAAUGGGCUUGUCUUGAGAAGGAGUACUAUAACCUUUACUUUUCAAUCUAUAACUUGCCAAGCUUCCUAAACUCCCCACAGAUGUCUCUUUGGACAAAGAGACGAUUGUAGCCAUGUAUAAGGCAAUUGGUCGCUCUCUUCUCAAUUAUGCUGCCCCAUUCGCAACCGAAUGUGUCAAGAUGACUAACGUAAAUCAUUUACAUGGUGGGACCAGGUUAUUGUCAGCCAGACAGACCCUAACCAUCAGGUUCUGAUGCAAUAUAUCCUUCCCAGACACAUAGGAUGGACAUUCGAUGCUUUCGCAUCGACUUCGAAGACAUACCAUUGAACGUUGACAGGCAAAGAAGAAUUAGGAUGUUGGAGAAAAGGUGAGUGACAGCAUAAGUUAUAUAUCACCAAAUAAUGUUUAUCUGGUGUACAGAGAGGUAGUUCAAAAGAUUCAGCAGAAUAUCGCAUUAGGUAAAACUCAAGACACUCCGAAGGGUAUAUCGUAUAUAUCUCUAUAUUUUCAUUCCUAGAACAUCAAGUUUACUGAUCACUCAAUUACACUUCGUUUUAAAAAGUAGUGAAUGGGUAUGAGAAACCCGGAAACCCCCUUUAUCAAAGAAUUCGGUGUUGAACAUUUGUUGCAU